rnacentral:rRNA from 1 species
ACUCAAAUGAAUUGACGGGGACCCGCACAAGUGGUGGAGCGUGUGGUUUAAUUCGAUACUAAGCGAAGAACCUUACCAAGGCUUGACAUCCCGAGAAAGUCCUAGAAAUAGGACCGUGCCGCAAGGAGCUCGGUGACAGGUGUUGCAUGGUUGUCGUCAGCUCGUGCUGUGAAGUGUCCCGUUCAGUCGGUUAACGAGCGCAACCCUUAUCCUGUGUUACACUUCUCACAGGAAACUGCCCGGGUUAACCGGGAGGAAGGUGAGGACGACGUCAAAUCAGCAUGGCCCUUACGCCUUGGGCUACACACGCGCUACAAUGGGAGGUAACAAUGGGUCGCUAAGCCGCGAGGCGGAGCUAAUCCUAUCAAACCCUCUCUCAGUUCGGAUUGGAGGCUGCAACUCGCCUCCAUGAAGCCGGAAUCACUAGUAACCGCCGGUCAGCCACACGGCAGUGAAUACGUUCUCGGGUCUUGCACACACCGCCCGU